UAGAAGACCACUUCACAGGAAGCUUGUGCUGACGGCCUGAGAUAUGAUCUCUGAGAUGCGGUCAUUCCUCACCUGAGUCAUUAUUGGAGGGACGGUUCUGACAGGGUUCUCCGAAACCCCUCACACAACACCCCCCCACCCCCACCCACACCCCUACACCCCCGGCUUCAGCAGAAGUUCAGAGAAACGACCACAGCAAAUCUUCCAGUGUAAGCGGGGCGUAAUGAGGGCGUGAGCGGUGGGCAGGCGUUUUAAUUUCCACAGUGAUGUACAGCCCCUCUCUGGGGUCCCACCGCUCACCCACACUGCCUUCUGGGUAACACGGCGAUGGUGCUGCUCUACACUGUGUUUGACUGCAGACAGUUAGAAGGCGAUAAAACACUCAUUGUCAAAAAUAGCGGGACCCAGAAGGAUUCUUCAGCAGGGCACAGGAGCUUGAGUGUUAACCUUCUUCUGGAUGUGUGUGUGUGUGUGUGUGUGUGUAUGUAUGUGUGUGUGUCAGCGUGUGUGCAUUUGUGUGGGGGAUGAAUCAGUAUAUAUAUGUGUGUGUGUGUGUGUGUGAGACACUCAUCAUGCAGUCUGCGAUUGAUGCUCUGCCUCUCGCCCUCAAUGUCACCAGCGACACAUCCGUCUCCGGGGGAAACGGGAGGUGUGAGUGUGUGCGAGUGUGUGUGUGUGUGUGUGUGUGUGUGUGUGACAGGUCUAAAUCCUCUCUGCCGUGCAGAAGGACAUGUGGGUUGCAGAUGCCC